rnacentral:rRNA from 1 species
AACUCCGUGCCAGCAGCCGCGGUAAUACGGAGGAUCCGAGCGUUAUCCGGAUUUAUUGGGUUUAAAGGGAGCGUAGGUGGAUUGUUAAGUCAGUUGUGAAAGUUUGCGGCUCAACCGUAAAAUUGCAGUUGAAACUGGCAGUCUUGAGUACAGUAGAGGUGGGCGGAAUUCGUGGUGUAGCGGUGAAAUGCUUAGAUAUCACGAAGAACUCCGAUUGCGAAGGCAGCUCACUAGACUGUCACUGACACUGAUGCUCGAAAGUGUGGGUAUCAAACAGGAUUAGAUACCCUGGUAGUCCACACAGUAAACGAUGAAUACUCGCUGUUUGCGAUAUACAGUAAGCGGCCAAGCGAAAGCAUUAAGUAUUCCACCUGGGGAGUACGCCGGCAACGGUGAAACUCAAAGGAAUUGACGGGGGCCCGCACAAGCGGAGGAACAUGUGGUUUAAUUCGAUGAUACGCGAGGAACCUUACCCGGGCUUAAAUUGCAACAGAAUAUAUUGGAAACAGUAUAGCCGUAAGGCUGUUGUGAAGGUGCUGCAUGGUUGUCGUCAGCUCGUGCCGUGAGGUGUCGGCUUAAGUGCCAUAACGAGCGCAACCCUUAUCUUUAGUUACUAACAGGUCAUGCUGAGGACUCUAGAGAGACUGCCGUCGUAAGAUGUGAGGAAGGUGGGGAUGACGUCAAAUCAGCACGGCCCUUACGUCCGGGGCUACACACGUGUUACAAUGGGGGGUACAGA